AUUGAACGCUGGCGGCCGGCCUAACACAUGCAAGUCGAGCGAGCGGCGGACGGGUGAGUAAUGUCUGGGAAACUGCCUGAUGGAGGGGGAUAACUACUUGAAACGGUAGCUAAUACCGCAUACCAUCAGAUGUGCCCAGAUGGGAUUAGCCGGUAGGUGGGGUAACGGCCCACCUAGGCGCCGAUCCCUAGCUGGUCUGAGAGGAUGACCAGCCACACUGGAACUGAGACACGGUCCAGACUCCGACGGGACGCAGCAGUGGGGAAUAUUGCACAAUGUGCGCAAGCCUGAUGCAGCCAUGCCGCGUGUGUGAAGCAGGCCUUCGGUUUGUAAAGCACUUUCAGCGGGGAGGCGGUACCCGCAUAAGAAGCAUCGGCUAACUCCGUGCCAGCAGCCGCGGUAAUUC
rnacentral:rRNA from 1 species